rnacentral:rRNA from 1 species
CCAUGCAGUCGACGACAGCGCGGAAUGGGGCAACCCGGCCUGGCGGCGAGUGGCGAACGGGUGAGUAAUAUAUCGGAACGUACCCUGGAGUGGGGGAUAACGUAGCGAAAGUUACGCUAAUACCGCAUACGAUCUAAGGAUGAAAGUGGGGGAUGCGCAAGCACCUCAUGCUCCUGGAGCGGCCGAUAUCUGAUUAGCUAGUUGGUGGGGUAAAGGCCUACCAAGGCAUCGAUCAGUAGCUGGUCUGAGAGGACGACCAGCCACACUGGAACUGAGACACGGUCCAGACUCCUACGGGAGGCAGCAGUGGGGAAUUUUGGACAAUGGGCGAAAGCCUGAUCCAGCAAUGCCGCGUGAGUGAAGAAGGCCUUCGGGUUGUAAAGCUCUUUUGUCAGGGAAGAAACGGUGUGGGCUAAUAUCCUGCACUAAUGACGGUACCUGAAGAAUAAGCACCGGCUAACUACGUGCCAGCAGCCGCGGUAAUACGUAGGGUGCAAGCGUUAAUCGGAAUUACUGGGCGUAAAGCGUGCGCAGGCGGUUUUGUAAGUCUGUCGUGAAAUCCCCGGGCUCAACCUGGGAAUUGCGAUGGAGACUGCAAGGCUAGAAUCUGGCAGAGGGGGGUAGAAUUCCACGUGUAGCAGUGAAAUGCGUAGAGAUGUGGAGGAACACCGAUGGCGAAGGCAGCCCCCUGGGUCAAGAUUGACGCUCA